rnacentral:misc_RNA from 1 species
AGAAGAUGCAACGUCGAUGCCAAGCAAUCUUGCAAGCACAUAACCGAAGAAGAAUCCUGACGCGUGAAGAAGAGAUGCAGCCAACACUACUUGCUGACCAGACAUCAGAAUAGCAGAGGAGUUCUGAGCAAUUGCAUUUCCACAUAAAAUAGCUACAGUACCAACAGCAAUAGGGGGCAUCAAUGGAGAGACAAAUCUAACCAAGCCAUGGAAAUACUGGUUUAAAA